AUGGAUAGUUUGAAGGAUGCCUGUUUGGAGGAGGUGAGAAAUGAAGCCAGAGAGGUAUAUUGGGAAGAUUUUGAAAACUACCUCUUGUGUUAUACCAGAACUUCAAAGGAAAGUCAAGGAACAUACAAAGGUACAAAAUGUGCAAAUAAGAAAAGAGCGUGGCGGCACUGCUUCCUCUCGGCUCAGCUGUCUUGCGCAGGAGCCGCAGGGCCGUGUGCAGCCACGGCGCCCAGCCGGAACUGCAUGAUCUUCAAGCCCCGCUUCCACAAGCACCGGCAGCGGCGCGUGGCCACGUGGUUCAACCAGCCUGCCCGGAAGAUACGUAGACGCAAGGCCCGGCAAGACAAGGCGCGCUGCAGAGCCCCGCCCCCGCGUGGGGGCCCAUCCGGCCCGCCGUGGGCUGCCACACAGUUGGGUAUCACACAAACGCUUCAGCCUGGAGGAGCUCAGGGUGGCCGACGUUCACAAAAAGGUGGCCCGGACCACUGGCAUUUCUGUGGAUCCGAGGAAGCAGAAUAAGUCCACCGAGUCCCUGCAGGCCAACGCGCAGCGGCUGAAGGAGUACCGCUCCAAAGUCGUCUUGUUCCCCAGGAAGGCCUCUGCCCCCCGGAAGGGCGGCAGUUCUGCUGAAGAACUGAAGCUUGCCACGCAGCUGACGGGACCGGUCAUGCGCAUCCGGAGUGUCUGUAAGAAGGAGAAAGCACGAGUCAUCACUCAGGACGAGAAGAAUCGCAAAGCCUUCGCGAGUCUCCGCAUGGCCGGUGCCAACGCCCGGCUCUUCGCAUUCGAGCAAAAAGAGCCGGAAGCUGCAGAACAGGACAUUGAAAAGAAACAAUAAAGCCCUCUUGGGGACUUGCAAUUUUAA